GAAAUCCAUGGGGAUGG
rnacentral:miRNA from 1 species